UACAGAGGGGGCAAGCGUUGUUCGGAAUUACUGGGCGUAAAGGGCGCGUAGGCGGCCCACUAAGUCGAACGUGAAACCCCCGGGCUCAACCCGGGAACUGCGUCCGAUACUGGUGGGCUUGAAUCCGGGAGAGGGAUGCGGAAUUCCAGGUGUAGCGGUGAAAUGCGUAGAUAUCUGGAGGAACACCGGUGGCGAAGGCGGCAUCCUGGACCGGCAUUGACGCUGAGGCGCGAAAGCCAGGGGAGCAAACGGG
rnacentral:rRNA from 1 species